AACGAACGCUGGCGGCAUGCCUAACACAUGCAAGUCGAACGAGACCUUCGGGUCUAGUGGCGCACGGGUGCGUAACGCGUGGGAACCUGCCCUUAGGUUCGGAAUAACUCCCCGAAAGGGGUGCUAAUACCGGAUAAUGUCUUCGGACCAAAGAUUUAUCGCCUUUGGAUGGGCCCGCGUUGGAUUAGCUAGUUGGUAGGGUAAAAGCCUACCAAGGCGACGAUCCAUAGCUGGUCUGAGAAGAUGAUCAGCCACACUGGGACUGAGACGCGGCCCAGACUCCUACGGGAGGCAGCAGUGGGGAAUAUUGGACAAUGGGCGAAAGCCUGAUCCAGCAAUGCCGCGUGAGUGAUGAAGGCCUUAGGGUUGUAAAGCUCUUUUACCCGGGAUGAUAAUGACAGUACCGGGAGAAUAAGCUCCGGCUAACUCCGUG
rnacentral:rRNA from 1 species